rnacentral:lncRNA from 1 species
UGCCAAAGUAGACUUCUAUGACUUUAAAUGGAUAAACACUCAGCUCCCGACGGAUAAAAGAUAGCUAUAUGUGAGCUAACUAGUGUUUAGAAGUGAGGAAACACUCAAAAGAUGUAUAUGCAGAGUAAAAUGGACAGGGCUUCCUCGCCUUUUUCUCCCCCUCUUCUUCUCAAAUGGCUGACCCCAAGGCCUGUAUAUAUAGACGGAUGGCCGCAGGUACACCUGCGGCUGGUCGUGAUGCAUCCGAGCCUCGCGGGUCCCGUCGUUUCGUAGUACGUGCACUCAUGCACUAUAAUAUCCGCUCGAACUUGCAGAACAUCA